ACGAACGCUGGCGGCGUGCUUCACCCAUGCCUGUCGAACGGAAAGGCCCUGCUUUUGUGGGGUGCUCGAGUGGCGAACGGGUGAGUAACACGUGAGUAACCUGCCCUUGACUUUGGGAUAACUUCAGGAAACUGGGGCUAAUACCGGAUAGGAGCUCCUGCUUCAUGGUGGGGGUUGGAAAGUUUCGGCGGUUGGGGAUGGACUCGCGGCUUAUCAGCUUGUUGGUGGGGUAGUGGCUUACCAAGGCUUUGACGGGUAGCCGGCCUGAGAGGGUGACCGGCCACAUUGGGACUGAGAUACGGCCCAGACUCCUACGGGAGGCAGCAGUGGGGAAUAUUGCACAAUGGGCGGAAGCCUGAUGCAGCAACGCCGCGUGCGGGAUGACGGCCUUCGGGUUGUAAACCGCUUUCGCCUGUGACGAAGCGUGAGUGACGGUAAUGGGUAAAGAAGCACCGGCUAACUACGUG
rnacentral:rRNA from 1 species